rnacentral:lncRNA from 1 species
AGUGCACGGGACACCAGCAGGCUCGAUCGUGCAUGGCAAUGCACGACGCAGCAAGAGAUCUCGUCCAUAGAUCACAACCCUCUGAUCUGAAUGUGUCCGAUCCGAUGGUUCUAUUAUCCUCCUCAGAAGAGGCUGCCGACGACCGCGGCGGCGAGCGCGGCGGCGACCCACCUGGCCACCCCGGCGCCGGGCGCGGCCGCCGACUUCUUGUCCUCGUCCGAGGCGGUGGAGUCGUCGGCGACGGGCGGCUCGGCGAUGCCGGUGGACUUCUUGUGCUUCUUCUUGGUCUUGGACUUGGUCGGCGCCGGUGCGGGCGCGGGCGCCGGGGUGGGCGGCUUGGGGCCGAAGAGCUCGUAGGGGAGCGGCACCUUGUCGACGGGGUAGACGGCGAGCGGGAAGUCCUUGCUGACGGGGCUCCCCAGGAGCAUGGAGUUGACGCCGGUGGAGAUGUUGACGUUGUUGCCCGCGCGCUUGAUGUCGUACCUGUAGGGCCCGUCGUGCCCGGACCCCUGCGUGUUGACCUUGCCGUUGAGGGUGCCGAGCAUGGAGAGGCUGUAGAACCUGGGCAGCACGCAGUAGAGCACGAGCUGGAUCUGGUCCUGCGGCGACAGGCCGUUGAGCACGCCGGCCUUGAGCUUGUCGAAGGCGUCGUUGGUGGGCGCGAAGAUGGUGAGCCCGUUGUAGCUGUCCGUCAGCUGCGCGUUGA